rnacentral:rRNA from 1 species
CGGGACGGGUGAGUAAUGUCUGGGAAACUGCCUGAUGAGGGGGAUAACUACUGGAAACGGUAGCUAAUACCGCAUAACGUCGCAAGACCAAAGAGGGGGACCUUCGGGCCUCUUGCCAUCGGAUGUGCCCAGAUGGGAUUAGCUAGUAGGUGGGGUAACGGCUCACCUAGGCGACGAUCCCUAGCUGGUCUGAGUGGAUGACCAGCCACACUGGAACUGAGACACGGUCCAG